rnacentral:piRNA from 1 species
UGCAGUUGCCAGGACACCGUGAU